AAAUUACAUCUUACAUACCAAACAUUACAUAUUCCAUAGAGAAAUCCAAGAGAAGAAAAAAAAUGGAAGUUGCUAAUGUUCUUCACAUGACUGAAGGAAUUGGAGACUCUAGUUAUGCAAAAAAUUCUCUGUUUCAGCAAAAGGUGAUCCUCGCAACAACAUCAAUAACAUACGAAGCUAUAUCUGCUCUGUACCACAGCCUUUCAACAUGGGAAACCAUAUGCAUUGCGGAGUUAGGUUGUUCCUCCGGACCUAACACUUACUUGCCGGUUUCCCAACUCAUUCAAACUAUUCGAGAAAAAUGUACAGAAAAUGGCCAAAAAUUGCCCGAAUUUCAUGUUUUUUUGAAUGAUCUUCCUGGCAAUGAUUUUAAUACCAUUUUUCGUUUGUUGCCAACAUUCUAUGAAGAUUUGAAAAAACAGAAUAUGAGAUCAGGAGAUGGAUUAUUUGAUCCUCCAAAUUGCUUUGUUGCGGCAGUUGCUGGUUCAUUCUAUACUAGACUUUUUCCUUCCAAAAAACUGCAUUUUGUUCACUCUUCUUACAGUCUUCACUGGCUUUCUCAGGUGCCUGAUGGAAUUGAGAAUAACAAAGGGACUAUUUAUGCAUCAAGUACAAGCCCAUCAAGCGUCCUCAAAGCAUAUUCCAAGCAAUAUAAAAGAGAUUUCGCGACUUUUCUCAAGUAUCGUUCAGAAGAAUUGGUGAAAGGUGGACGUAUGGUAUUAGCCAUGCCUGGUAAAGAAAAUGAGCAUCACUUAAGCAAUGUGUGUCGCUUUAUGUUGGAGCCUUUGGCCAUCGCGCUCAAAGACUUGGUUACAGAGGGAUCGAUAGAAGAAGAGAAAAUGGAUUCGUUCAACGUUCCAACGUACUCUCCAUCUCCUGCAGAAAUACAGUAUGUAGUUGAAAAGGAGGGAACAGAGUAUGGAUUCUAGUUGUGAAGGUUACAAUGAGGCACAGAGUGUAAGAGCUUUUGCUCAACCUUUACUUGUUAGUCAUUUUGGUGAUGAUAAUAAAUUGAUAGAUGUUGUGUUCAAUAAGUGUAGAGAAAUUUAUGCCAAUACUAUGGCCAAAGAGAAGAAUAUUUUCACAAAUGUUAUAGUCUCUUUGAUUAAGUCUUAAUAAAUCACUUGUCAUGUAAUAAUACUCGAGAUCAAAGAUAAUUAAUGAAGUAUUUGUGCAUUAAGGAUUUUUUUUCUA